GGCGGGCGUGGUGGCGCGAGCAUGUAGUCCCAGCUACUCAGGAGGCUGAGGUGGCAGGAUCGCUUGAGUCCAGGAGUUCUGGGCUGUAGUGCGAUAUGCCGAUCGGGUGUCCGCACUAAGUUCGGCAUCAAUAUGGUGACCUCCCGGGACCGGGAGACCACCAGGUUGCCUAAGGAGGGGUGAACCGGCCCAGGUCGGAAACGGAGCAAGUUGAAACUGAAGAUAGACUUUCAGAACUCAAAGACAGCAGUAUAGGUAAUGAAAGUGAAAGGAAUGAUUUCCU
rnacentral:SRP_RNA from 1 species